rnacentral:lncRNA from 1 species
UCUAUUUCAGUGCUGUAGCUGUUAGUUUUAAGUGAGUGCUAAAGUUCUUUUAAAAGUACACAGAAUUUCCAUUCCUUAUAAAGGUGGCAAAAUUGGUUUGUCAUUUACCUCCAUGUGACUCCUUGCCCCAUAUAAAUGUCAGCAUAUGUAGCAAGUUUUCUAAGAAUGUAACUUAAUUUGAAGCUCCUGAAAUUUUGAGCACUGCUCUAACAUUGUAGGAAGUUAGUGACAUUUUGCAAGUCUCUACAAAAGCUCUUGCCACAGAAUUCACUGCUGCCCUGACUCUUCACCAUCUUUCUUUAGCAAGGUAUUUUGAGCCAUUAAUGAUUUUGGGUUUUUUAAUCCAGAAGGUAUAUAAAAGCCUUUUCAGAGUUUUCAUCUGAUUUGUCCUGAGGAUCUAGUUCUAUCAAAUACCUUAUUUUACCUUUGCCAUACUUGCUGCACAAGCAGACACUGCUGGACUUAGAAGUUUCUAUUUGAGUUCCUUAAACUACAAAACUAAUAUGUAUGUGUACCAAACUGAUUUAAAAUAAAUGUUUAUUAGUCUCUU